CUGUGCAGGAUCCCUCUGACCAGGCAGCUCUGUGUCAAUGGAUAAAUGGACUCACAGCACAUAUGCAGACUUCAUAAAAAGCUUCAAAAGGUUUCUGGAUUACUGGUCUUAAGAUAAAUUCUGAAGAAGUCUGUGAAGAGCAACAAAAAAUUAAGAAAAAGCAGUGCUGCCAGUGCUGUCUCCUACAGCAGAAAAUGGUCCAUCAUCUUCAGGAAUUUACCAUAG